GAGAUGGAUUGGUGCCCUCGGGAACUCUGACACAGGUGCUGCAUGGCUGUCGUCAGCUCGUGUCGUGAGAUGUGGGUUAAGUCCGUACGAGCGCAACCCUUGUCCUUAGUUACCAGCACGGUUAUGGUGGGCACUCUAAGGAGACUGCCGGUGGACAAACCGGAGGGAAGGUGGGGGAUGACGUCAAGUCAUCAUGGCCCUUACGGCCUGGGCUACACACGUGCUACAAUGGUCGGUACAAAGGGUUGCCAAGCCGCGAGGUGGAGCUAAUCCCAUAAAACCGAUCGUAGUCCGGAUCGCAGUCUGCAACUCGACUGCGUGAAGUCGGAAUCGCUAGUAAUCGUGAAUCAGAAUGUCACGGUGAAUACGUUCCCGGGCCUU
rnacentral:rRNA from 1 species